rnacentral:RNase_P_RNA from 1 species
GGAGUCGGCCAGACAGUCGCUGGCGCGCAAGCGCUGGAGGAAAGUCCGGACUUCACAGGGCAGAGUGCGAGAUAACGUCUCGACGGUGCGAGCCGAUGGAAAGUGCAACAGAAAGCAAACCGCCGAUGUCACCGCAAGGUGGCAGGUAAGGGUGAAACGGUGCGGUAAGAGCGCACCGCGUCGCUGGCAACAGUCGACGGCACGGCAAACCCCACUCGAAGCAAGACCAAAUAGGCACUCAUUGGCGUGGCCCGCGCUGAGUGCGGGUAGGUUGCUUGAGCCGUAAGGUGACUUACGGCCCAGAUGAAUGACUGUCCCCGACAGAAUCCGGCUUAUCGGCCGACUCCGACC